GACGAAGGGGGCUAGCGUUGUUCGGAAUUACUGGGCGUAAAGCGCGUGUAGGCGGUUGCCAUAGUCAGGUGUGAAAGCCUUGAGCUUAACUCAAGAAAUGCACUUGAUACUGGGCGACUAGAGGACCGGAGAGGAUAGUGGAAUUCCCAGUGUAGUGGUGAAAUACGUAGAGAUUGGGAAGAACACCAGUGGCGAAGGCGGCUAUCUGGACGGUUACUGACGCUGAGGCGCGAAAGCGUGGGGAGCAAACAGG
rnacentral:rRNA from 1 species